rnacentral:lncRNA from 1 species
AGGCACAGGUUUUUUUGUUUGUUUUGUUUUUUAUGAAAAAAUACUGGAUCACACUGUAUAUACUCUUUAAUAACUUACUUUUCAAAAUGCAUAUUUAUAUUUUAGAAUAGGUAAUACAUAUAGAGAAACAAAAUUCAAAAAGUACAAAAAGCUCUAUAGUCGGGAGUAACUCUUCCUUCCCUGUCUGCCAACAUCUAGUUUGCCUCUAAUUUCUUGAAUAUCCUUUCAGAGAUACACAUUUUUGAACAUACAUAUAUACUUUUAUCACACACAGUGGUAGCUUAUUGGACACACUUUUUUUUUGCUCCUUUUAUUAUUUCACUGAAUAUAUUCUGAACAUUUUUUAUGUAUGUCUUCCAGACUUUGGAAAUAGCAUCUUCAUUGUAUGGAUGAACCCUCAUUUUGUAAUCAACACCCAAAUUUCAUUUGUUCCCAGGCUUUCUUGUAAAUAAUGGUGCAACAGACAACACUGUAGCUAAAAUUUGCACACCCCUAUGACUAUUUCCUUAGGUUAUAUCCAAGAAGGAAAUUGCUUGGCUAUUUUUAAGAAUUUUGAUACAUAUUGCCAAUUGCCCCCCAGGAAGUGUGUACCAAAACACUGUCCUAUUUGCAAUCUCUGGAGUGUCCUGUUUCCUGCAACCUAACACUGGGUAUUAUCACUAAUCAAAUCUCUACCAAUUUGACAGGCAAAAUAAUAGUAUGUCAAUCUUAUUUUAGCUUUCAUUAUUAGUGAAUAACAUUUUCAUAUGCUGAUUGACCAUUUGUACUUCUUUCUUUGUGAAUUUUCUAUUUAUUUGAUAUUGGUAUGUUUAUUAUCGAUUUGUAAUUUGAAGAAUAUUAUUUUGUCAAGAAAUGCUGCAAAUAUGCUAUCCAAGUGCUUUGCUUUCAAAUUUUGUUUAUGGUGCUUUUUGACAUACAUAAAUUCUUAAUUCUGCAAUUAAUUUGUUCCUCUGUUGCUGGCUUCUCCUGCCUCCAGUUUUUUCUCUCAUUUCUACCAGAGUGACCCUUCUCAGAUGUAAUCUGAUCGUGUCGUUCCAGAGCUUAAAGAUUUUUCAUGGCUUCUCAUCACCUUUAGGAAACGGCAAAUUCCUUAACAUAUAACUAACUCCUUAACAUUUCUUUCAUGUAUUUGCUCCCUCUGACUUUCCCAGGCUCACCUCCUGGCCCUCUUUUCAAGGUAUCCUACAUUUUACUGUCACAUAGUCCUGAACCAUUGAGCUUUUGGGACUUUUUAUGCUGUUCUCUCUGCCUCCUUGUCAUUUCUCACUCCUUCCAUCCUCUCUUUGCCUUGCUAAUUCCUGUAAGUCUUGAUCUGGGUUCACUGGUCCCAAAGCAACACCAGCCUACCUCUGCCCAGCAUGUGCUUCAAAUGAUUGGAAUUUCCUAGUUGGAUUCAUCUCUCCCACCAUACGGAUGCCCCCCAAGGCAGGAACUAUGGUUGAUUGAUCUUUGCAGUCAGAAUGUCCAGCACAGGGGCUGGGGUUGUAUGUAGCUCAGUGGUAGAGCACCUGCCUAGCACAUGUGAGACAGUGGGUUCAAUCCUUAGCACCACAUAAAAAUAAAUAAAUAAAACCAAGGUAUUGUGUCCAUCUAUCACUAAACAAAAAUUUAAACAAAAACAAUGUCCAGUCCAGUGCCUGGCACAUUAUAGGUACUCAAAAGCUAUUGAACAUUGAGCCUGCCACAGAUGAAUAAUGGAUUCAACAGCAAAUGUCACUUGUGGUAAAUGCAGGGCUGGACUAGAU